UACGUAGGGUCCGAGCGUUGUCCGGAAUUACUGGGCGUAAAGAGCUCGUAGGCGGUUUGUUGCGUCGGCUGUGAAAUCCCGAGGCUCAACCUCGGGUCUGCAGUCGAUACGAGCAAACUAGAGUGUUGCAGGGGAGACUGCAAUUCCUGGUGUAGCGGUGAAAUGCGCAGAUAUCAGGAGGAACACCGGUGGCGAAGGCGGGUCUCUGGGCAACAACUGACGCUGAGGAGCGAAAGCGUGGGGAGCGAACAGG
rnacentral:rRNA from 1 species